GCUACAUCUUCAUUUCUUCCUUUACUCCUUUUUCUCCUUCUCUCUUUCGUUCCGUCUCUCCUUCUCUUUUCUCUCCGACAAUUCGGUUCGCGGCUUCUCGACAUCCGCACAAGAUAACCAUUAUUUUUGCAGAUUGACAAACAUUACGGAAUGGCGUCUUACUGUAUCAGAGAUGGAACCGAAGAAGAUUUGCCGGAGCUACAUCGUCUCAUGCAGGAAAUAGCUGAUAAUGAAGAUUCAGAGAAGUGCGCCCCGCCUCCUAUUGAAACUUUGAAGGAAUAUGGUUUUGGUGAACAUCGAUAUUUUUAUUUCAUUGUAGUUGAAGACACAUCUGAUAAAG
rnacentral:lncRNA from 1 species